UGAAAUAAAGCUCGUCUUGUUGUUGAAGCCUUAGCCUAAAGCGCAUCGAGGUGAAUGUCGAACAUUGUCAAAGGCUGACCCCUGCCAAACACGAUCUUGACCAUCUGGGCGACUUGGUUAGAAAACAAUAAGUGUAUGCAGCUAAGUACCGCAUUGGUGCGAGAUUUUAUGGAAAUUUUGGAUACAGACUAGAGCUUUCUUCAAACAAGCUCUAACACACAUUUCCUUAAAACAA